rnacentral:rRNA from 1 species
GUCGAACGCUGGCGGCGGGCUUAACACAUGCAAGUCGAGCGGAUAAGGGCUGCUUUUGCCUGGAUUCAGCGUCGCACGCGUGUGUAAUACCUAUGAGUCUCCCUGGUAGGGGGGGGUAACAUCUGGAGACGAGCGCUAAUAAUGCAUACGUCCUGCUCGAGAAGCAUGGGGGUCGUCGGACCGCACGCGAUCAGAUGAGCCUAGGUCGGAUUAGCUAGUUGGUGGGGUAAAGGCCUACCAAGGCGGGGAUCCGUAACUGGACUGAGAGGAUGAUCAGUCACACUGGAACUGAGACACGGUCCAGGCUCCUACGGGAGGCAGCAGUGGGGAAUAUUGGACAGUGGGCGAAAGCCUGAUCCAGCGAUGCCGCGUGUGUGAAGAAGGUCUUCGGAUUGUAAAGCACUUUAAGUUGGGAUGAAGGGCAGUAAGUUAAUACCUUGCUGUUUUGACGUUACCAACAGAAGAAGCACCGGCUAACUACGUG